UCCCGCGCUUUAGGUCAUUCACUAAUCUCCGGGAUUUUAUCGGGACUUCUGGCAACUCAGUGCUGCCAAUCAAGCCAUUACUUGUGAACAGGUGGUGGAGGAAAGAGGACGUGAGGUAGUCUAUACUCCGGUUUGGCUUUUGAAGGUCCAGCGGCACACUGCACACUGCUUUCAUAAUCGUGUGUGCAGAGUGCAAGGCAGAGAGGGGCAAGGAUGGAGAGUGCUUCAACAUUCACAGCGUCAUUGGUUCAUGCUUUCUUUUUUAUGGAAAGUAGUACACACAGUUUUAACCAAAGGAUUAUGUCAUCAUUCAUAUUCAUAGAUUUCAUGACUUGACAUUGUGUUAACCUUUGUGCAUCAGAUCACUUCAUUAUAUGUAAGCGUAUAUUUAGCUACAAGGAGUAACGGUUUAUGGAAUUUGUAAUGUAUAAAAAGUGACUCAUAAGAGAUCUUGCAUUAUGAGAAUUUGUUUAAAGGUCUUUGUUUAUUAACAUGAUCUGGUUAUGUCAGUCUUAAAAAGUCUAGAUUGAACAGACACUGCACUUCCUACAGAUGGAAUUUUAGUCAACACUGCAAGGUGUGUGUGUGUGUGUGUGUGUGUGUGUGUGUGUGUGUGUGUGUGUGUGUAACUUUGUGGGCAAGUGUGCCCACAAAAAAACCUUGCCCCACGUGGCCUGCAUGUGUGUCGUGUGUGCAUCGGGCGUAAUCUUCUGUUUGUCAUGUUUCUUUUGUUUGGAUAUACAGUGUAACUAUUCCCAAAGUAGUAAAAAUAAUUUAAAUUGUAGAAAAUUAUGUCAAUGAACUAUUUAUAAAAUUGGCAAAUAAUGAGUCUAAAACAAUGGUCGUGACAGUCAGGCAUUCAGUGAGACUUGAUGCUAAUUGUGUAGAAUGCGGUCCCAGAAUGAUGGUCUGUUUUUUUUUAUUUAUUUAUUUUUUUUAUUUAUGGUGAUAAUAUAGUGUUGCAAGGGACAACAUGCUGUCUGAGAGCAAUGACAUUAUGAAAUGCUUAAAAAAUAAGUUUAGAGUUGAUAGUUUUUCCUAGAAUUUUGCAAUGAAAAUGAUCUCAAAACACAGCUUUUAUGUUCUUGUAUUGGUUUCUUUGGCAAUGAUAGGUGCAAUGAGGUAGACCUGUUCAUACAGGGACUGCUGCCAUGUAUGUUCAGGCCUCAUGAUCGCUCUUGUAAUUAUGCUCAUUUUUGUUUCUCUAAUACUUUUGAAAUAUUUUUUAUAAGUUGAAAUAUUCCCAGAGAAAUAUGAUACUUGAUUAAAUUGUACAAAUAUUGAUAUUCCCCUGUAAAAAUUUCGGUUUUUGAAAAAAAAUAUUCCCAGAGUAAUUGUCUCAAGUUGAAAAUGUACAACUGCUAUUCCACUGUAAAAAUUUUCCGAGUAAUUGGCUCAAGUUGAAAACGUACAAAUUGUUAUUCCACUGUGUAAAAAAACAAAUUGUUAUUCCAUUGUUAUUUCACUGUAAAAAACAAAUUGUUAUUCCACUGUGUAGACAUUUUCUAAAAAUUUUCUAAGUCGAAAAUUUCGGUAGAGUUUACCGAAACUUUACACAUUUUUGUGUAGAUUGAAUAAAAGGGAUGGAAGGGAGA
rnacentral:lncRNA from 1 species